rnacentral:tRNA from 1 species
GCGGGCGUAGCCAAGCGGUAAGGCAGUGGAUUGUGACUCCAUUAUUCGCGGGUUCAAUUCCCGUCGUUCGCC